rnacentral:rRNA from 1 species
UCGGGAAUAUUGCGCAAUGGAGGAAACUCUGACGCAGUGACGCCGCGUAUAGGAAGAAGGUUUUCGGAUUGUAAACUAUUGUCGUGAGGGAAGAAAUUGACAGUACCUCAGGAGGAAGCUCCGGCUAACUAUGUGCCAGCAGCCGCGGUAAUACAUAGGGAGCAAGCGUUAUCCGGAUUUAUUGGGUGUAAAGGGUGCGUAGACGGGAAAUUAAGUUAGUUGUGAAAUCCCUCGGCUUAACUGAGGAACUGCAACUAAAACUGAUUUUCUUGAGUACUGGAGAGGAAAGUGGAAUUCCUAGUGUAGCGGUGAAAUGCGUAGAUAUUAGGAGGAACACCAGUGGCGAAGGCGACUUUCUGGACAGUAACUGACGUUGAGGCACGAAAGUGUGGGGAGCAAACAGG